rnacentral:snRNA from 1 species
GGCUUGAACAUAUAAGCUCAAAGA